AAUGGGAGGCCGUUCUUCGUUUUGUGGGUUAACAAUGGUGGUGGUGGUGGUGAUGUCGAUAACCAUCCUGAGUUCCAGCUACAGCUGCAGAGGUUCGAUUCUGAUGAAGGCCAACGCCACGUUGGGUAGCGUGAUGACGACCGAGUUGAUCAUCAAGCACGAUAUAACUCGGUAUCUCAUAUUCAAGGGUGCCACCGCAGUGACAGGUGCGACUGCGGACCCAAACAUCGUGACAUGUGGCAAUGGCGCCGGAAACACGUUUUCCGGCUGCGGUGGUAAUGCUAAUAAUACACAACAGUGCAAUGCAUACCAAGGACCUAACGCUUGCUUAUAAUCCCUUCAGUUCCAUAUUAAUAUGAUCACUAUGACUCUGCGCAGUUUCUAUGUCAUCGUGUAAUCCCCUGUUUUUUAUGAUCCUCUGUUCUUCUUUCUAUUUCUCUUUGAAGUGGAGUUUGUUUGUUUGAUGCUUUCAUUAACAAUGUAUUUGGUGCUUUGUUGUUUGUUUUUGUGAAAUAAGAACUAAAUCAAAUCACUUUUCUUCUUCUCUCUCUUGUUCAAUCCAUUGAUCCUCUAAGUAUUUUCGUAAUAAAGAUUAAAUUGUUACCGUCUACAAACUUAUAAUCUUUAUUGUUAUAUACGUAUGGUUAAGUUUUGAGUUUGAUUUCGAUUUGAUCUCUAAUUUUCAAAAUGUUGUAUUUUAAUAUUGAUAUUUGAAUUUUAUUUUAAUUUGGUCCAUAGAAUAUUUACAUUUGUCAUCUCAACUUUUCACUUAUUAAUAAUGUAUGUUAAUAAAUUUAGAAUAAUUAAAAGAAAUAUAAUGAACUAGAAUUCACUUUUUUCCUUCCUUUUAAAAUUAAUUUAGAAUUUUACGUCUUAAUUAUUUUAAAUUAAUUAGAAAACAUUAACGUCCAUCAUUCUAAAUGAGUAUUUAUUAAAAAAAAGAAAUAAAAAUAUAAAAUAUUAAAUUCUGAAAACCAAAUUGAAACAAAGUUCAAAUCUUAAAAUUUAAAACGUAACAUUUCACUCAAUAGAAACUAAACUUAAAAUCUAUAUAUAAAAUACUUAUUAUCUGACUGAACACCAAAUAUAAAUUAAAAGUCAAUUUUAAAUUUUUAAGAAUUUGAAAAUGAAAUAGAUUCAAACGUAAAAAUUUUAAUUUUACAAAUAUUUUAUUUUAGAAAAAAAUAUCAUUUUACAAGUAUGAAUUUUUCCAAUUCUAUCUGUAUAAACUUUAAAUUAAUAAAAUUUAUAAUCCAUUUUAAUAGUAAUUUUAUUAACCCAUUAUUUGAAAAGUAUGCACAGGAGCUAUAAUUGAAUGCAAUAUGGCAACUUUUAAAUGUAAUAUAAUCAUGAUAAAAGAUUUAGAUUAUUCACUUAUAACACUUUAGAAAUUUAAUUAAAAAGUUUAAUAUUUAAAUUAAUGAUUGGUUGUAUUAAUUGAAAACUUUAACUUUAUUUUUAUUACAUCAAAUUGCACUAAUAAAGUAGUGAAAGUUAGGAAAAGCAAAAACUAAAAAGCAAGAGGAAGUCCCCACAUUCCAUGCGACAUGUCGUAUUGAAAUAUGCUUUUAUCUCUUUUAAAAGUUGUUGUGUCGUUCGUCUCGUGGGAAUAGAAAACUAUUAGGAAUAUUUUGGAUAAAAAUCAUUAUAAUUUGGUCCAAAUCUUUUCUAAUCCACAAAAGCAACUUUAGGUUUUGUACUAAUACGAGCCAACCUUUACUAAUUUCUUUUACUAUUUGUUACGAUAGAUUUGGAUUAGAGGGAAAAUUAUCAGAUUAAGUAUUAAAACAUGGGAGUCUAGGUCGAUGUGUUCAAACUAACCUAUUAGGCCUCUUGUUCUUGGCCAAGGACGAUGGAGGCAUGCUCUGGCCUAUUUAGGUCAAAGUUAGAUCAAGAGGAAGUCUCUUCAUUUAAUGAAUGUGGGAUCAUUUGAUUGAGAAUUAACCUAAUAUGACUCGAAAUUCCUCAUAUAUAUAUGAACAACUUAGAUCAGAAUUUCACUAUAAAUACAUUGUUGUGAUGAUUUUAAGAGAAGUAAGUUCAUUUUCAUCCCUAAAAUUCUUGUUACAACCAAAAGCUACUUUUUGACUAAGGUAUUGGAGACGUGAUAAUUUUGUCCAUCAACACUCCCGAUCUUAAACUUAUAAUUACAUAGAACAUAUUGAUAAGGUAUUAAUGUCGGUCAAUAUGGUUUUACAUUGUAAAGAAAUCUAAAAUCAACAAAAUGUUUUGAUUUUUCUCUCGACGAAGAUAUUAGAUACUUAAAAAAAUUAUAUCUAUAAAUUUCAACCCUAAAUUACCAAUAAAACAUACUACACAUGUGAUUUGGUGAAAUCAAGAUUGGCAUCUUGGAUGUUCAAAAACUAAUAUAAAACAAAUUAAGAAAAGUUACCUAUUCAUUUAUAUUUGUUUGUUCUAAAAUAAAUUGAAUUGUUUUUCUAAACUUAACUUUUACACAGAAAACAAUUUUCGUCGAUGAUUAAACAAGAUCUCGAGAAUGAAAAUGAAAUCUACGAUACUUAAAUUCCUACCAACCAAAAAUCCUUUAAAUUAGUAAUGGAAGAAUGAAAUAUGAUCCUCUCAAUUAUUUAAUUAUAUUGACCUUUAUAAAUCACAUUUUUCAUGGCAACAUAUAAUUAUUGAUUCACUUUAGAUACAAUAAUAGUGAAGUUCUUAUUUGUGGAAUGGUAUGAUUGGUCAUAAGGCUAACUUUAAACUUUAACUUUAAUACCAAAAAGUUUCUCUCUCAAGUCUUGGUCUAUUAAAUAUUAUAAAGUAAAAGGACUCAAUUACAAAGUGAUUGCAAUAAGAGAAAAGAUAAAGGGUUUUAAAGCAUAAAAUAAAAAAGACAAGGAAAGAAAAUGGUUUCUUCACUGUAAAUAUUAUCAUUGUUGUCUUCAAUCAUUUGGUCUAUUUCUUCCCCUUCAAUAAUUCAAUACCCAAAUCAAUUACACAAUGUUUUCUAUUCUUAUUUAAUUUCUAACCUACCUUAAACCCGUUUACGCGUUAUAAAAAAUCACUUAAAUGAACUAAAAUUGUACCUAAAUGUUAGUGUGAUUUUGAGGAGAGACCUCGCAACAUGUAUAUAAAGUAUGUAGGUUAAUAUCUCGUAUUUCCAUUGUUCACAAUGUCUAUGAGAUACGUAGACCUUAUGUUGCAUAUGCUUUAAGAAAUUCUUUUCUCUAAAGAUUCAUUUAUUCUCGUAAUGUUUUAGUACAUACUCUUGGAAUUUCAGACAAACAUUUAAUAUAUUGAUUUGUUUUACAAAAUUUUACUUUUUAAAACUUUAAUAUUGUUAUCGAAAGAAACUUUAAAAUCUACCUAACAUGUUAGGAUUAUUUUAUAAAUUAAAAUAAAUUAUUUGUUAACAUUCUAAUUAUUUUUAAAAAAAUAGUAAAAGAUAGGAAAAUUUUCAAAAAUAAUAUAUUUGAGAAAAUAUUUAAUAUUUAGGAUUGAUAUCUUUAUUUCCACAUUAAGAAAAGUUUUAGAUAUUGUAUGAUGGAGUGUAUGUUCAUACAUAAAUAAAAAUUUGUAUAUUUUUAAUCUUUUAUAAAGGAAUGUGUUUUAUCUUUUUUUCUUUUCAAACUUUCCUUUCUAAAAAAGUAUAAGCAUUAAGUAUUAACACUUUUUCUCAAUUCAAAACUCUCCAUUUCAAUCCGCAUAACCAAAAAAGAUUCUUCAAUUCUUUGUCAUGAAAAUCCUUACUCCCUUCUUCGUCUUCUUCUUCCUUCUUCUUCUUCUUCUUCUUCUUCCUCCCUCCACUUCUCAAACUUCUUAUUACGUCCCUGUCGAUAACAUAGCCGUCAAUUGCGGUACCAAAGCCAUCACUGACACCGGCGAUCGAAAAUGGAUCGGCGACGUCGCUACUAAUUACUCCCCAUCCGAACCACCAAACACAGUCAACAAGUCCACCUUCAAGUCCAUUAUCUCAAACACCAUCAGCGACGAGAUCUACAGAACUGUACGCCUCUCUCGCUCUCCCUUCACCUACUCUUUCCCGGUCACUGCCGGCCCCAAAUUCAUCCGUCUCUACUUCUACCCGGAAAAAUACGAAGAAUUUAAUAGAUCCGAUGCCUUCUUCACUGUUCAAGCUGCCCAGUUCACUCUCCUUAAAAACUUCAGCGCUGCCCUCGUCGCUGAUUUCAUCAAUAAAAGCGUCAUCCCAAGAGAAUUUUGUAUCCAUAUCGCCGGAGAAGCACCAAAGUUGAACAUUACCUUCACCCCAUCUCCGAAUUCUUAUGCCUUCGUCAACGGAAUUGAAGUGGUCUCUAUGCCGGAAAACCUCUACUACUCUCCUGCGGAGCAGGGAACGACGACGCCGAUUAUUGGAAACAACAUCGCCCUUGAGCUUUAUCAUCGAAAAAAUCUUGGCGGUGACGACAUCUUUCCGAGUCAAGAUUCCGGCAUGUACCGAAAUUGGGAUGGGACUAAUCUACAUAUAACAACCAAACGAGUUAUCCCAAUACAUAAUGACUCUGUUUCUAUAAACUACACAACGAGCACUCCUAACUUCACAGCCACAGAUUCAGUUUAUCAGUCUGCUCUAAUUCUGGGUGUGAAUCGAACUCUCAAUUCUAAACAAAAUUUAUCGUUUCAAUUGCCCGUUGAUGUCGGGUUCAAUUAUUUGGUACGACUCCAUUUUUGCCAAAUUCUUAUGGAUCAGUUUCAAGGAAAACAGAAGAUUUUCACAGUGUUCAUCAAUAACCAAAAUAUCACCACUGUCGAUAUAGAUUCCAUCAAUACUCCUUUAUACAGAGAUUAUAAUGCACGGCCAAUGGCGGUUGGGAAUACUUCCGCUAUCUUAGUUGAUUUACACCCCUUACCAAGUGAGACCUUCGAUGUGAUUUUGAAUGGAUAUGAAGUGUUCAAACAAAGCAAUGGAACUAAUCUUGCAGUACCAAACCCAGUGGUCGCUCUAGCACCAGAAAUUAAACGGGGAGCCAAAAAUUCAAAUGCAACAGCGAUCAUCGCUGCUGUGUGCAGUAGCGUGGGAUUUGCCAUAUUAUCUUCAAUCGUUGGAUUUGUGGUUAUAUGGAAACAGAGUAAGAAGAUGAGGAAGAGAAGGAAGAAGAAGAAGAAAACAAGAGAGGAUAAGUUGCUGCCGGAACGACGGUGCCGGAUUUUCACCUUCGAAGAGAUUUGUGAAGCGACAGAUUACUUUAGCAAAGAGAGACAGAUAGGAGUCGGAGGAUUUGGUGCGGUUUACAAAGGAAUUUUCGAGGAUGAAGACGAUCUCACCGUCGCAAUCAAACGGUUGAACCCAGAAUCCAACCAAGGCGAACAAGAAUUCGUAACAGAGAUUGAAUUGUUAUCGGAGCUCCGUCACUUCAACCUUGUAUCUCUCAUCGGAUAUUGCUUGGAAAACAAGGAAAUGUUGCUAGUUUACGAAUAUAUGCCAAACGGAACAUUCAAAGAUCAUCUCUACGACACCUCGAAUUCUCUUCUAUCAUGGAGGAAGCGCCUAGAAAUCUGCGUUGGGGCAGCACGUGGUUUAGACUACCUACACUCCGGAUUCGAUCGACCCAUCAUCCACCGCGACGUGAAGACUACGAAUAUCCUUCUAGACGAAAAUUGGGUUGCAAGAGUUUCCGAUUUCGGGAUGUCGAAAUUGGGGCAAACCAACACGGCAGUCAGCACGGCAGUGAAAGGAACUUGGGGCUAUUUAGACCCGGAAUAUCAUCGACGUCUGAAAGUGACAGAAAAAUCCGACGUAUUCUCAUUUGGGGUCAUCUUGUUCGAAGUGCUGUGUGGGAGAAAACCAUUGGACCCGCUUGCCGGUGAAGAGAAGUUCAAGCUUACGCUAUGGGCUAAGAAAUGCUUGGAGAAAGGGAAUGCUUAUGAAAUUAUCGAUCCGCAUUUAAAAGGGAAGAUUUCAUGUGAUUGUUUAAAGCAAUACUUGGAAUUGGCGACAACGUGUAUCAACGAUCAUUCAAAGCAUCGGCCGAGAAUGGAGGUGGUGGAGGAGAAAUUAAGGUUCAUCUUGAAGCUGCAAGAGGAAGCAGAUGGGGAUUGUCCGGACACGGAAUUGAGUUAUCCAGAGGAGCCAUUUUCGCCGAUAAGGUCAUCAGGAGGUUCUCUACGGACUGAGUCGUAUAAAAGCCACAUCGCCACCAUGCUCAGCGGCUCCGAUUUCACGGUAUCGUCGCUUAUGAGUGAAGAAAUGUUAAGUGAACAGAGCUCCGGUUCUAUGGCGUAUUCUCGGAAGACAUAAUUUAUUUCUUAAAAAAAAAAUCCUUUUUGUUCUUCUUUUUCUUUUUAUAAUUUUAUUUAAAAUACCGUUUUAGCGGUUAGGUUUUGAAAAUAACGUUAUAGUUUGGAGUUGGUUUAGUUCUUAAAGCACUUAUGCUUUGAACUAAAAGUAAUGAAUAUAUAUAAACUAGUCUCUGUAAAUUUUACAAACGUAAUGUAUGUUUGUUGUGGAUUUUAUUUAAUUUUGAUUGCCAUACAUAUGACUUGAUUAAUAAAUUAAAUAUAUAUAUGAUUGUUAAAACAAUUGGUUGAAAGGGUAAUCUAAUAGUGAAGUUUUUAUCCGUGGAAUGGUAGGAUUGGACAUACAUCGUCUACCUAAUUAGGCCUUAUUCUUUUAACUUUAACUUUACUACCAAGAAGUCCCACAUACAAUUCUUGGUCUAUUAAAUUUUUAAAAGUAAAAGGGUCGGACUCUAUUGGCUUAUUAAGAGAAAACACAAAAGGGUUUUAAAGCAUAAAAAAGAAAGAGAAAAGGGAAAGAAAAUGGUUUCUUCACUCUAAAUAUUAUCAUUGUUGUCCUCAAUCAUUUGAUCCACUUCUUCCCCUUCAAUAAUUCAAUACCCAAAUCAAUUACAUAUGCUUUCUAUUCUUAACUAUAUUCUCACCUACCUAACCCUAAAACAAAAAUGUGCUAUCCAAACUAAUAAAAUGGUUAAACACUAAGAAAACUUUUAAAUAUUAUAUGUUAGUGUAUGUUCAUGAAGAAAUAAAAGUUUGAAUCUUAUUAAUUUUUUUAAGAAAAGAAUGUGUUUUAUCUUUUUUUUUUCUUUUCAAACUUUCCUUUACUUUUUAAAAGUAUAUAUUCAUUUCAAAACUCUCUAUUUCAAUCUGCAUAAGAAACAAAACAUUAUUUUUUCUUUAAAAAGAAUCUUCAAUUGUUUGCCAUGAAAAUCCUUACUCCCUUCUUCCUCUUCUUCUUCCUUCUUCUUCUUCUUACUCCCUCCACUGCUUAUCAAAGUUCUUAUUACAUCCCAGUCGAUAACAUCGCCGUCGACUGCGGCGGCAUCUCUGCCUUCACUGACACCGGCGAUCGAAAAUGGACCGGCGACGUCGCUACUAAUUUCUCCCCAUCUGAACCACCAAACACAGUCAACAAGUCAAUGGUAAAGUCCAGUAAUUCAAACACCAACAACGACCCUCUCUACAAAACGGUACGCCUCUCUCGCUCUCCCUUCACCUACUCUUUCCCGGUCACUCCCGGCCCCAAAUUCAUCCGUCUUUACUUCCUGCCGGAAAAUUUCGACGAAUUUCAUAGAUUCGACGCCUUCUUCACUGUUCAAGCUGCUCAGUUCACUCUCCUUAAAAACUUCAGAGCCUCACUUGUCGCUGAUUUCUCCAAUAAAAGCUUCAUCGCAAGAGAAUUUUGUAUUCAUGUCCCGGGACAAGCAUCAAAAUUGAACAUUACCUUCACCCCAUCUCUGGAUUCUUAUGCCUUCGUCAACGGAAUUGAAGUGGUCUCCAUGCCGGAAAACCUCUACUACUCUCCUGUGAAACAAGGAAGGACGACGCCGGUUAUUGGAAACAAUAUCGCCCUCGAGCUUUAUCAUCGGAAAAAUCUCGGCGGUGAAGACGUCCUUCCGAGUCAAGAUUCCGGCAUGUACCGAAAUUGGGAUGGGAGUAACCUAUAUAUAACCACCAAACAAGUUAUCCCAAUACAAAAUGACUCUGUUUCUAUAAACUACACAACGACCACUCCAAACUUCACAGCUACAGAUUCAGUUUACCAGUCCGCUAUAAUUUUGGGUACGAAUCGAACUCUCAAUUCUAAACAAAAUUUUUCGUUGAAAUUGCCCGUUGAUUUCGGGUUCAAUUAUUUGGUACGACUCCAUUUUUGCCAAAUUCAUAUGGAUCGGUUCCAAGAAAAAGAGAGAAUUUUCACUGUGUUCAUCAAUAACCGAAAUAUAGCCGUUGUCGAUAUAGAUUCCGUCAAUACUCCUUUUUACAAAGAUUAUAAUGUACCAAUGGCGACUGGGAAUACUCCAUUUAUCUUACUGGAUUUACACCCCUUACCAAGUGAGAGCUUCGAUGUGAUUUUGAAUGGAUAUGAAGUGUUCAAACAGAGCAAUGGAACUAAUCUUGCUGUACCAAACCCAGUGGUCGCUCUAGCACCGGAAGUUAAACGGGUAGCCAAAAAUUCAAAUGCAACAGCGAUCAUCGCUGGCGUGUGCAGUAGCAUGGGAUUUGCCAUAUUGGUUUCAAUCGUUGGAUUUGUGGUUAUAUGGAAACAGAGUAAGAAGAAAACGAAGAAAAGGAAGAAGAAGAAGAAAACAAGAGAGGAUAAUUGGCUACCGGAACGACGGUGCCGAAUUUUCACCUUUAAAGAGAUUUGUAAAGCGACAGAUAACUUCAGUAAAGAGAGAGAGAUAAAAGUUCACAGAGGAUUAAGUGUCAUUUACAAAGGAAUUUUCGAGGAUGAAGGCGAUCUCACUGUCGCAAUCAAACGGUUGAAAGACCUCCCGGAAUCGAACGUAGGGGAACAAGAAUUCGUAAGAGAGAUUGAAGUGUUAUCAGAGAUUCGUCACUUGAACCUUGUAUCUCUCAUUGGAUAUUGCUUGGAAAACCAGGAAAUGUUUAUAGUUUACGAAUUUAUGGUAAACGGAACAUUCAGAGAUCAUCUCUACGGUACAUCAAAUUUUCUUCUGCCAUGGAGGAAGCGCCUAGAAGUCUGCAUUGGAGCGGCGUGUGGUUUAAACUACCUACACACUGGAUUCGAGCGACCCAUCAUCCACCGGGACGUCAAUACAACAAAUAUCCUUUUAGACGAAAAUUGGGUUGCAAGAGUUUCUGAUUUAGGGAUGUCGAAAUUGGGGAAAACUAACAUGGCAGUCAGCGCGGUGGUGAAAGGAACUUAUGGUUAUAUAGACCCGGAAUAUUUCAAUAAUAAGACAGUGACAGAAAAAUCUGACGUAUACUCAUUUGGGGUCAUCUUGUUGGAAGUGAUCUGUGGGAGAAAACCAUUGGAACGGCUUGCUGGUGGGGAGUGGUUCGGCCUUGUGGUAUGGGUUUUGGAAUGCUUGGAGAAUGGGAAUGUUUAUGAAAUUAUGGAUCCGAAUUUAAAAGGGAAGAUUACAUAUGAUUGUUUUAAGCAAUACUUGGAAUUGGCGAUAACAUGUAUCAACCAACAUUCAAAGCAUCGACCGAGAAUGAAGGAGGUGGAGGAGAAAUUAAGGUUGAUCUUGAAGCUGCAAGAGGAAGCAGAAGCAGAAGCAGAAGCAGAAGGGGAUAUUUCCAACGGUGAUUAGAGUUAUCCAUAGGAGCCAUUUUGGCUGAUAAAGGCAGUAGGGCAUUUCCUUUUUACAAAACACAAAAACUGCUAUUUACAUUUGUAAUGGACUUGUGUUUAUUCGCUUAUGACUGAAGAAAUGCUAAGUGAACAAAACAUUCGGAUAUGCUAUGUGGCCUAUUUGAUCAGAAGACAUAAUUUGUUUUUCAAAAGUUCCUUUUUAUAAUUUUCUUUAGCCAUUAGGUUUUGGAAAUAAGGUUAUAGUUUGGAGAUGGUGUAGCUAUUAAAUCACUUAGUGCUUUAAAGAAAAAGUAAUGAAUGUAAAUUAGGUUUUGUAAAAUUUCAACUUUUUCCCUAACUUAGAUCACUUUAACUAAAAUUUUAAUUUAAAAUGUCAAAUUCUCAGCUCCUACUUAAAACCUAACAUGUGUAAAAUUAAUAUUUAUCUUAAAUCCUUAAUCUUACACGUUAACGCCUUUCAAAUAUCAGAUUUGAUAUUUUUUCGUCAAACCUUUCUUCUCGCCUAAUUCCAUUUGGCAAAUAGCUUUAACUCCUUAACAUAACUUCCAAAUGUCUCUUAACGCGUAACUCUUCUCGCGGACUACCCAACUUUAUCGCGAAGACUCUUUCUCAGUUAAACACCUAGACUUCAUAGAUCUUAUCGCAAAUCCUUAUUUUCUCAAAGUUUCCUUGCAAACUAACCUCUUAAUCACGUAGACUGACCAAAAUGCUCUUGUCUAAAUCGGAAAAAUUGAAUACCUGAGCAAAUUUUACUUCUUAUACUCAAAUUAGAAGCACGUCUCACAAACCGAUAGCACAUUUUUCAUAUUGAAAACUAUCACUUAUAGAAAAACUACUAAUAACAGCUAUUUAUGAUAACGAUUGAUUGCACAUUUCUCAAAUUUAAAGUUAUCAUAGAUAGUAGUUGUCGAUCAUAUAUAUAAUUCAAAUAAAAGUCAUUCUUAAAGCAACUGAUAACAAUUAUCAAUUAUCAAUUUUAUGCUACAUACCAAAAUUAUUUUAUCCUUGUCUUAAAAGUUAUUUAUGCAACAAAUCCUUGCAGUACUUAAGUCUCAAACUAAUAAUACUUCCUUCAUUGAUUUGAUUCCCUUCUUAUUACAAAUUUUAUUGUUUUGCAUCAACUGUUUGACGUUAUUUAGCUUAAAAGAAAAACUACUCUCUACAUUUGUAUAGACUAUAUCUAGAAAAACAAAAAUAACGAAACCAUCGCUUGGACUAAUGACUUAAAUGUUUCAACAAGAUUACACUCUACCAUAAUUGAGUAUGUGUUAAUACAUAUACAUUGUUUCAAUUUAAUACAUGAAAUUGAGACGUGUGGAUCAUAAUUAAAUUUAUGGAGAUGAAAACUCUGUCAAUCGUGUUUGUAAUUCAAGUUACUCUAUUUAUCAUAACGAAUUGUUAAAACAUUAUUGGUUGAAUUUUACCGUGGGAUAUGUUAUGGUUUGUAUAUAAGCUGUGUUUAAAGUUGGUUAUACAAAGAUUAGUAUCAACAUUAACUUUAACCUUUUCUUUAAUUAUUAAAAAUAUUUAAUGGCAACUUUUGAAGGUUAAAAAAAGAGAAUAUUUUAACCUUCAAAGUUAUUAACCAUUUUAUUAAAGUUUUAGAGUAUUAUUUGAUUUGCUCUUUUUAAGUCAAAAUUGAUGGGAUCAUACAAAAGAAGAAAACAAAACCCUAACUUUACUUUACUUUCACAUUAUUUUCUUUCAUCUUCUUCCUUCCAACUCCGUUGCUCCCCAAUAUUUGAACUGCUGCUUUUGCCAACAAUCGAAGGACAGACUAGCGAAGAAUUGGGUUGCCGGAGUUUCACAACACCGACGCAAAGCUCUAGACUCUCAUAAUGAGCAACAAGCAGGGCCCUCCCAAGCACCAGAACAAAUACGCUUGGAAACCCAACGCCGGCCGCAAAAUCAACGAAACGGUAAUCUAAUUUCACCACCUUUUUUUUCUCUUCUUUUCUGUUAUCUAAAUGUUAACCUCCUUCGCUUUUACUAUGACAUUUUUAGUACAGGAGGUUGGAGGUAGGUUCCGCCCCUUAUCUGACAUCACCGGAGUUUGUCUCCGUUGUAAGGACCAAAUUGAUUGGAAACGCCGUUACGGAAAGUACAAACCUCUUUCUGAACCUACUAAAUGGUAUACAUACUUUUUCUUUUUUCUUCCAUUUUUUCGUUAUUUGUUUCUUUUUCUGAGGUUGGAUUGGUAAAUUUGUGUUGAAUGUAUUGCAGUCAAUUGUGUUCAAAGCGGAAUGUUCGUCAAGCGUAUCACAAUCUCUGCCCCGGUUAGUUUAAAUUAUCAGUAGCUUUCUUGUUUAUGUGAAUUUAUUUUUGUUGUUCUGAAGAAAUAAAUUUCUAGGGGAAAAUGUGUCAUUAUGAACGAAGUUCAGCAGUAAGAGCUAAGAGUGACUUUAAUGUUUAUAUAGGUUGUGCCAAGGAGCAAGGUGUAUGUGCAAAAUGUCGUUGUCGUGUAGAUCAAACUGUUGGAAGGUGUGUUUUAUGAAUUGCUGAAGAUUAAUGUGUGAAUUUUGUGGACUAAGAAUGAAUAUCUAGUGUUACAAAAACUGUUUUUUAAAUUCUAAGGCCUUUCCAUCUGUCUUUUCUAGGGAUUUGUCUGAAGUGGAAGCUGAGCAAAAGAUGCUUCAAGAGGUAUGAUUUUCCCCUCAUGUUAUGGUGAUAAAUUUUCAAAUGUAGCUCACAGGUUUGGUGAUUGCUGCAGGCAAUAAAGAAUGCUCGAGAAAGGGAUCGUAGAACUCUGUUACGUGCUGUAAGCUUCUGUUUUUUGUUAUUGUUUAUUUUAUUUAUUUACUUAUUAUUUUGUUUAUUUGCAUAUUGAAUGAAACUACGAAAGAUAUUUGGUGAAUAAAAUAGAAUUUUGGAAGUUAUAGAGUGUUUGUCUAGCACUUGAGAAUUGAGAGCAUUUUGUUCACUUUUGUGCCUCAAUUGUUUUCUGUUUGGGGAAGCCUUUUUUCAACACUCCCUACACCUAGUGCUGUUUUUAAUGGCUUAAUGCAAGGUCUCAAUGUAAAGAGCAACACGUAUUUUCCAUUUCAAGAGUUAGUCAUAUUUUGUAAAUCAGGUUAACCUUAGAAGUUGGACGAGUUGUGCUGGUUGUAAAUAAGCCAAGAAGUAAUUACAAAGGCUCUAUGUUGAGCACUCCCACUAGAGGUUGUAAGCAGGAAAAGUUUACCAAAAGAUUAAAGAGAAUUGUUAAGGAAAAUCCUCAAGUUUCUUUCUAGCACAUAACACACAUUAGGGCAACAGCAAAUGUAGGGAAUCUUCUUUGAACCAAACCCAUUGUAUUGAUAUUAUUCAACGCCACAGUCCACAAAAAGAAUUUCACACUUGGAGAGAAGACAAACCCAAAUCUGUAAACAAAGGUCUUCAUCAAUCCCUAUUUUUUUCCCCUCCUGAAGAACUACUUCCAUAGCUGAUUUGAUAGAAAAUACUCCAGAUUCCAGAACUAUCCACCUUCCAGACCAGCAUGUUGGCCCUUUGGGAAGGAAAAUUUUUUUUUGAACAUGGAAGCUAGUUGAGCUCAUUGGAAUGCUUUUAUCUACCCCCAGCCCCAGCCCUUUGAAUGUUUUGUUCUCUUUUGAAAUAUAUUCCUUCGCUUCCUAUAAAAAAAGUUAUUUAAUCUAAAUUCUGUGAUGGUUUCUCUUGAAGUGUUGAGCUCUAUGACAUCUAGUCAUAGUAAUUUUGUGUUGCAUUGUAACAGUAAGAAUUGAAUUUAUAGUAAUUCGAUGGACCUCUAGCCCUCUAGGAACCUUUGAAAAGAAAUCUCAAAAUGUUUCCCCACUUCUUGUUUGUUAUGUAUGCUGGUAGUAGUGGCAGGAAGGAUCCUCAGCUUUUCAAUAGUUCUAUCGAAUUGUUAAUCUUAAACUAAUAUUCUUCAUACUCACAAAGAAUCUUUUUCCUCCGUUAUUUUGUUGAGGGCCAUGUCUCAUUUCAUUUUGGGAUCUGUGAGCCAUUUUCAAUGUAGUUACAUCAUGGACUUUCAUGGGGUAGCCAUAACAGGAUCUUUUGUAAUUUUUCCAUUCAUUCAGUUAGAUUGGAAGGGCUUUUUUUCUUUUUUUUUCUUUUUUUUUUUUGGUUUUGUUUCUGUAAGUUUGCAGGGAAGCGACUUCUUUUAGAAUGAAAUGUUUUUUUUGUUCUUAUAUAACAAAAAAGGAAUUUUUUGGUCGGUUUUUUUUUCUCUUUUCUCUCUUUUUUCUCACUCAUCUUCAUAUAAUUCAAGAUGCAAGCUGGUUUUUUCACUCAUCUUAGUAAAAACUGGUUUUUUAUUUUAUUAUUAUUUUUUCGUUUCGAUUCUCUGGUUGAUUCAUAUAAUUUGUUUAAUUGAAACAGAUGGAGAAAGGAAAAGCUAAGAGUUCAAAUAAAAACAAAUCAGCAGUUGAAGAAGAAACGAAGGAUGGAGAUUCAAUUCAUUCACCAACUGAAGUGCAAGCUGAAAUAGGUCGAAAUGAGGAUGAUAAUGAAAGUACAGACGACACGGAUGGAGAUAACUACGAAAAUGAAGAUGAACAUGAAUGUGAAAAUGAGAAAGAUGAAGAUGGGAAAGAGUAGUAAAUUAAAAUCAAUCUUUAUGGCCAUAGAAGUUUGUAGAAUCCUAUUUCUUUGUAUGAGGUUAAAUUUUGAUUGAGUUCUUCAUGUGCUUUGGUUCUCUAGGAGUGAAAUCAACUAUUGUGAUAUAAAAUUUUGGUUAAAAUACCUUUUUGAUUCUUAUAUUUAUGAAACAUUCUUCUUUUUUUCUUUUUUUUUGAAGAUGAGAAGAUCACACUUUGUUUUCUAUCUUGGUUGGUCUAGGGCUCUUCCAAAGAGGACAUGAAAGUUGAUUAUAAUGUUAUCCAUCGACCCCUCCUUCAAAUCUAAGAAACUUAUCUGAUUUACCACUGUCGGUGUAGUUUUGUAGAAAAUUUGAGAAAGAAAGAAAUGCUAGGUCUUUUCCAUGGCAAAGAUAGAUCCUCCAAAGAAGUUUUAGAGAUUUCAAUUUUUCAUGCUCUUAUAUUUGUCUAAAAUGUACUAUCGGUUGUAAAUUGAAAACAUCGUUCAUUCAAUCAAUGAAACAGUUUCUUACAAAGAAAAGCACAAUCCUACAUAAAUUUCUACCAUUUUUUUAACAUUGCUUAGAAAAACUUAGAUUUUAGUAGUUUUUUGUGUUGGUUGGUUAAACUUGUGUCUUCCCUAGAUCUGAUUCAUUUUUAGCUCAUCUAUUUUAGACAAAAGUAACAAAAAAGUGGCUUAGCACAAGCUCAACUAGCAUGUGCUGAGGACCUUUUGAUACGUGGUUCAUCAAACCCCCUAACCCCAUUUCUAACAGAAAAAAAACAAACUCAAAGACCAAAAUAUUAAAUUUCAAAAGCCUUGUAAGUGUACUGAAAUGAUUGAUCAAGAAUAAUAUUUGUUAGUUCAAAUACAACGUGAGAAUACUAAGCUUACAUUCUCUUUUUUGAUGAACUGAGUUUAUUGUGAUGAAAUAUACUAAAAUAUGUCUAAAAAAUUCAGGGGCUAUUCGAAAUCAACUCCCUAAAAAUGAAUGUGGUUUUCAGAUGGAAUGAAAUUCUGCUCUGUAGUCAAUACACAAAUGCUUCAACAGCAAUAACCUAUCUUCAAGUGAAUUCUAGCCUUGUUUUGAGGACAAAAAGAGUUGACAAGUUGCUUCCGCUCUAAAAUCUUUGAUGAGGUCAAGUCUGUUCAUCUUUUGCACACAACCGCUCUAAAUUUUGAACAACAACAUCGCAUGAGAAGGGGAAACUAUUCACAAAUAUAACAGAGAUUAAAGUAAAAUGGUGUGUAGAUUUAAGAAAAUUACAUCCUAAUAACUGCAAAAAGUAACGAGUGAGAGAUUUGAAACUAUGCGUUUAAAGUUCAAAAGAAAAUUUUUGAUAUACGUGCAAUAAGUAGGAGGUUUGGCUCAAGGAUUUAUGUGCUUCUCACAACUAAAAAAACAUAAAUUUCAUGGCUUACUAAGUUCUUACACGGUGGAUCUCACAAAGUUAACAAUUCUAGAUUUUUUAACUAUUUGUUCCCAAUGUCUUCUAAAAAGUUCCCAAUAAUUCAUAUUCGCAAUAAGGAUUCCCAUAAAAGAUGAAUAUUUUCUGCUUUGAAGAUGUUGACAUCAACAUAAAAAAUGGUCUAUAAUUGAACGUAGAUAUGUGUAGAUAUGUGCGUAUGCAUGUGUUCAAUUGUAUCAUUAAUAAAGUGCAGGCUAAAGAAGUCUUACUCAAGUACUCGUAGGCCAAUAUCAUCGAUGUUCCCCAGGCAGACAUGCUGAAGAACCGAGGACCAAGCCCCCUAUAAAAACCUUUCCACCCAUCCUCAGCGAUUAAGCUUUCAACAAUUUGUCUAGCUGUCUUCCCUUUAUCGCCCAUCACCUAUGAACAAACACAACUCAUCAAAACAUAGAACUCAUCAACAGAACCUGAGUCAGAAAGUCAUGACUCGUCACAUGGAUGAAAUUAAGGUAGUACUAUGAUGAGAUACUACCUUUCCAUAAUGAUUUAAAAAAUCUCAAAAAGACAAAAAAGGUUUCAGAAAUUCGAAUUUGUGGUUAUUUGAUGUUCUAUUUAUAAAAAAAAAAAUAUGUGAGUGAUCAAGCACUUAUGUGCAUUUUGACUACAAAUCUAAAAAUACUUGGUAGUCAAGAAACUCAGAUAUCUAUCAGCCUUCACAAGAUCAUAUAUUGAAAAUUUGGGAGGUUGUUGCAUCUAAAAUUGCCUCACCCCAAGGGGCCUUUGCCUUUAUCAAAGCAAAAUAGUCUUGGGGUUGAGCAAGCAAGGCCCAAGCUAGAUACUGACAUUUGGAACCUUGCACGAGAGUUUCAAGUUUUAGCCUGAUUACAUGUACAACACCAACCAGUGAAGGCAAUGCUUUCCCAAACUUCAGUACAACAAUUAGUAUAAAAAACAGAUUACCAUGGCAAAUCACAAUGAUCAACAAACCCACCAAUCCUCUUAUUUUAAAUAUCGCUGCUCCAAUGAGACUGUUGCAGAAUGAACGAAGCAGGUGGGUGCCAUCUACAAUUUGCAUUUUAGAUAGUCAAAUAAUAGUGGGGACUUGACCUUCCUAGACUAAUGAAUUACUCAGGAAACUUUACGAAGUAUAGAAGGGCUGGUUUGGAUUUUCUUCAGAGCCACUAAAUAAAGUGUUAGACAAGGUGACUUGUCUCUUCCCCCUUUCCUGUUGUAGGCUGGGUUGAUAUCCCAAGAAGUCGUUUGGAGAAAAAUAUGAACCCCAAUACCUGAUCUUUUAGGUUCGGGGAUAGGAACCAUUCUAUUAAUUUUCCCAUUUAAAGAACAGUCUCUUUUUCCUGUUUUUAUUUAAGGACGGCCAUUUCCAAUUCGGUCAGUGGUAAACCUUAUAGGGGUUUUAGCAAGUAGAGCGAGGAGUUCUAAGUUGGACAAGUAGUUUUAGUGGCAAACUGGCAGUGCCAAAUGAUCAAAGAGUUCAAGGGCGGCAACUUCAGAACAAGGAGAGGUUAGUUACAUUGGUGAAAAAAGAGGCUUCUAUGCCUUGGAACUCUUGAGAAAGAUUGUUUCAAAAUCCAACCCUUAUCCUCAAGACUGGUGCUCUUGGGACUACCAACCUCAAGAAGGAAUUACAAAGCUUUUUGAUGAAAAAAGUAAAGAUUUUUCACAUGAAACUGGAGAGUUGUGAAAUUUUUUUUUGAAAGAAAGUUUGGGGUGGAGAAAAGGUUUUCAAACAAGAGUAAUUUUGGUAAAUACAGAGGCCUGCUUGUAAACUAAGAACAACACAUGCCACCAAGAAACCCCCGAAAUUAGACCCACUCAGGUUUUUAAGCAAAGAAAACAUUCAGGGAAAAAAAAAACUUGGGAGUACUCUGAUAACCCCCCUCAGUGAAAGGGUGUACUCGUAAGCACAAGAAGGGAUGAAGAGAGGAAGCUGUAAAUGUGGGAUAUGGGAAUAUUGUUAGUUGGGGUGUGGGUGUGGGGGGGAGGGGAGGUAUCUUUUUGGCAGUUAAUCUUGUAUUGGUCUUUGAGGAGAAUUGGGGGAUAUAGGGAAGCUCUUGAAUUUAUGCCUCCGUUGUUGAUAAUAGAUAAAUAAAAUUGAGACUAAGACCUAUUAUAAAGACCCAAAAGGAAGGUACUGAAAUAUGUUGAACUCCACAUCUCAAUCCCAAAGACCCUCCAAAGUCCAAACAGUAAGAAAAUACGGCCUAUCAAAGAAUUCCUCAUUUAUCACGAAAAGAAAAAUGCAAAAGCACCUUCUCCAACUGAAAAGUCUUAAUCAAACCCAUACCCACGCUUCCAGUUCCAGGGAGUGUCCAAGAUAGCUUUCUAACAUUUUGUUCGGCAAAUAAAAAAACCUUAGACCAACAUGGCAUUAUUGAUAAAAAUUUCAGACAGUAAACAGAGGCUCUCAUAAGGUCUAGCCUUUCGAGUCGACAAGUAGAGCUUUAAAUAAUGUAACAAACAUUUGCAGAAUUGUCAAUUAUGGUUUGAUAACACAGCUUCUAUGACAGUAGAAACGGAAAAUAAUAUUUGGUAUCAAAUAAAAGCUAAUAACAAAUGUACAAUGAGUCAGUGAGAAGACUGGUUUGAUGUCAACUGGGGUGGCCUAGUAAGUACCUGUAAGCGAGUCUUUAUAGUGUCCAAUGGUGUUGUAAUGCAGGAAGCUGUUGCACCUGCAAUUAUUCCACCCGCAGCUUGAACUGAAAUAAGUUGGGAAUGGCUGGGAGAAAAUUUCUCUGAAGCAGAGUUUUGACCUAAGAACCUUCAAUGCCACAAAACAAAUAUAACAAUUCCAACGUCAAAAAAGAGAAACCAAUUUAAACAGAAGAAACCACCGCAACCGCAUCAUGUAUUUGUGCAAAUAACAACUGUCCAGUUGGACCCUCUGAAAUUCCAUAUUAUAUCUUUUUGCCAGUAUAGCUAUGCUCGCACUCAUAUAUAAAGCUCAACAAAUCCCUACAUGGAUGCCCUUUACAGUGCCUAAACUCCCAGAAGGCGAAUUAUUCGAAACACAGUAAUCAAGAAGAGACUAGAACCAAGGUAUAUAGUAAAGGACAAAGUAAUUAACAAUAAAUAAUAUAGCAGUAUCUAUUUAGAAUGUACCUCGUUGACAUAAACAUUACUAUUUACCAUCAAGAGACUAAUAAUUUCUUUCAUUCAUUGUUUCUUGUCCAAACAAAAAAUAAAUAAAUAAAGUAAAAAAUAAAAGAAUUUCAUUCAGGACCAAAGAAAGUGAAGAUGAAAAUUCUAACCAUUACCAGUCCUUAUGCAAUGACCCAAACUCAACACUUCAACACAAUGAAGGGAAAUUACCACGUCUCACCUCCAGAUGACGCGUUGACUUGCACCAUAACUUGCCCACCAUACAGCACUAGAUGGAGAGUAGGUCAUAACAGAUAACCCAAAACCUUUAUACAGUCCCCGAAUCCCAUUAGACUUUAUCAGUUUACGAGCAACAUCUAAACCCCCAGUAUAUCUUGUAUUUCCGGAGUAUCCUUGAACCAUUAGCUUUUGACUAAUCUGAGUGACAUCAAAUAUUCAAGCUUUUAAGCGAUAAUAGAUCAACAAAAACAAUAUUUUAUCAAAAACUAAACCAGUCCUACAUACCACAUCAAUUGGAACGAAAACAGCUUGAGAAAAAAGUGAUGCAGUCAUGCCAGCUAACCCAUUUGCCAAAGCAGCCUGUGUAGGUUCAGAAAAUUUAAAUGGCUCAACCAGUUUAUAGGCUCCCACUUUGGUAGUCUCUAAAGCAGUAAGAAAGAUGAUCCUUGCAGGAAUUGCACCAGUGAUUACUGUGCCAAACCCUCUAUAAAGACCAGGAACCCCAUCAUUCUUCAGUAAGCCUUUGAUAACAGACAGGGCAUUUCUCUCGGCAGAAUCCUUUACAGCGACCUGCAUCCUUGUUUUCACAACAGAAACAGGGUACAGUGCAACAGUAAUCCCAGUGAAGAGGCCAGCUCCUACGCCAUAAAAUUUUGCUUUAUCAAGCCUGCAGGAACAGGAUUAAUAAAUAAAGUAUCAUACUAGAUAUUGCAACUUCUUAGUUUCAACAUGCUCAGAAACUAACUAGCACAAAUGCAGGUACAAGAUGCAGAGUUUGAUGUAUUUCGCACUCAAUAUUUAUUAUUGUUUUUAUACAUGUGUCCUCAUAGUAUACUUGUUCAAGUGUUUGAUGCAUGUCGAACAAAUGUUUGUCCUACUUUGACUGUGUACAGCUAGUGUCAAACACAUCUAAUGCAAUUUUGCACUAAAAAGUAUCUAAGACAUGUCCAACAAGUGUUUAAGUAACCAAGUGUCCAACACUGGAUAUGCUAGCCAAACUAAAGUGUCCAUGCUUCUUAGCUCAUAGUAACCUACUUAUUUCCAAAAAUUACAAUUAUGUGUGCCAAUGCAUAAACACAACAAAUAUCCAGCCAAUUUCAUGGAGCAUUUAGGUCAAAGAAAUAUGUAAAUUAUAAUGCGGUAAAUGUUGAGAAAAAGAAUGGCACAAACAUUGCAACUAGAAUAUUGCAAAUCUCAAGUUUCAAGAACAACAAGUCAGUGUAUUACUUUCAAAAGCAAACGAUUUAAAGUUUCAAAAGCAUGAGCACCAUCAGAGGCUAAAAAUAGCAUCUAGUAGACUAGCAAUGACUACCAAGAAUACGGCUGGAACCUACUAUUGGGUAAUUGUCAGAAAUAGCACACAAAGGAUGUUCACGAGGCCAAAUGAGUCUUUCUGAUGGAGGAGGGUCGAAACCUUGGAAUAACUAAAACCAAUUAGAUUACCCCAAUUUUCAUCAUAAUCUUUGAAGAGGAAGCUGCUGGGUGGGGGCUGUCUCCUACUCUCCUUUGUCUAAUGCUGAAGAAUUUGUUACAGUUUCGCUUACUCACUUGCAAGGGCAGCCAUUUUUUGGGUUUUCGAUCACCCUUCCCGCUCCACUUUGGAGGAAGAGAAUAGUGUCUUUCAGGCUUCCAACUACUGCAUUAAUGAAGUUUGUUUCAAGCAAACUAAAAUAACAUUUUUAAUCAUCCUCCAGAGAAAAAUGAAAUCAAUUUCAUAACUUCCCAUUGGUUUAGUGGAAACCACCAGGAAUUACUUGGAAAAUGUUGUGACCUAUGUUCUUAUGAAACAUUCAUCUAAUGACUACUAGGUCUAACUCUCCACCAAAAAAGUGUGAACACCGAAAAAGAAAACAAGGAAAAAAAAGAAAGCAUCACACUCACACUCAUUCAAGUUUUUCUGUUCUUUCCCACUCUUCGUCUUGGUCAUAAGAAGUUUUUGGCACCCAGAGGACCGAUUAAAAAAAUAGGCCAAAUAGAGAGUUAUUUGUAAAAGGUCAAAAAGAAUUUGUACUACUUCUAACAAUUUCCAACCUACUGGCAACAUUUCCACAAACCAAGGCAAAUCAUCAAACUACAAUGAGUAUGUUGAAGACAGAACCAUCCCAAAUUUCAACUUCCAAGUCCUAUUUUAAACCCCAGGUUGAUUCUUUAAGUAUGAGAAGACGUUUCAAAUUUAAUCCACUUGAUCACAUCUCAAGAUUUGAUUCCUCCAAACCCUGAUGAAGGAUCUUUCUCUUCUCUCUCCCACACAUACAUUAAAUUCCACACAGUUACAAACUUCCCUCUUUCCCUCGAUAUUUCUUAUCUUUAAUAUCAUCAAGAACCAAAAUAGAGCGCCUAAUAACUCCUCCAUCGACGCAUGCAUCAAAGUCAUUAAUAAGGAGAACAAACAAACAAAUCCAGAAUGGUCAAUUAAUACUAAAGCGAGUCAGCAAUCAUUAUCAUUCAACGCAAUAGCUGAGUCAAGUUACCAAAAUCAAAGAACAGAUAUGAUAUGCAAACACAAAACAUAAAUGAAAUGAAACGAAUCAAAGCAAAUGGAUAAUUUCCCAAAAAAGCAGAGGAGACGAAAGGGAAGGUUGAAAUUACUUGUCCCAGUUGAUCUCAGUUUGACCAAACGAUUGAAAUCGCGAACCAUUCGCAUUCAUGGCCUCCCUUAUGCGAAUCAACCAAACAAGAUGGGCAAAGAAAAUCAAGAACGCAUUGAUGAUUCCAAGAAGUCGGGAAACCAAUUAAUGUCGCCGAGAACGAUUGGAGUCGUUCCGACGAGGUAAAUCUCGAAGACCAACAAGAAGAAAAGCAAAAAAGGAUACGAAAAUGGACGUGGGUCGGCUAGUUCUUCAGAUAUCGACGAACAUUUCUUGGGUUUCUCUCAAAUUGAUUGCUUGGAGAGAAAACAAUGUUGUGGGAAAAGGGUGUUUUGGUUUUUCUUUCUCUUAACCGUAAAUUCUUCGCUGUUCUUCUUUGUUCGUCAAAGAGAGAGCGCCUGUCUCGCGUUGGCAGUGAAGAAAGGCGGCCUUUGAUAUAAAAAACGGCCUUUGGCUACAGAUGGCUACUCCCUAAUCACGCGGCGCCUUGUCUUUCUGUUCACCUUGGGUUCUUAAUUCGUCUCACAUAUAAUAUAUUCGUUAGUUCUUUCUUCUUCUACAAACAUAUAAGGGUGGAAAUUCUGAUUCCUAACCUAAGCACAUUUUGAAUAGCACAAAAGUAUAUGUCUAUUCAAAAAGAGAGAGGUUGAAAUUGAAACAUACCCAAACUCUUCUUCAGGUUUGCCUUGCCUAUACUAAGAUCCAAUGCAAAAUUGGGAGAGGGCAACGCAAAUGUGCCACCUAUAAUGAAACAAAAAAUAGUCUUACGUUGUAGAUUGACUACUCGAGCAAACAAAUAUAUCCAUUAGGGAAGAAUUGAGUUUUGCUCGAAGUGAUACCGUGUAGCCAUGAACAUCGUAUUAACGACUAUCAAAUAAGGUGUCAUUGACAAUGUUUCGAGUCGUAAUAGGAGAACACUGUAAAUAGUCUCAUUUGCAUUGAAAUGUGGUAGGCUCAACAACACACCGGUGGGAAAAUUGUUUAUGGAGGUCGACUUGAAAAAUGCAAGACCAAACAAGGAGAAGUCAAGCUCUAGCUCACACAACGAAGAAAAUAUACAAAAUUUUGGAGUUAUUGAUCAAAUGGUUUGUAUGCUCCAAAAUUUAUGGAAACCCAUAUUCCUUAAAGGAAUGAGAGAAUCUUGGAGAAGAAAAAUGUGACAAUGGUUGUUGAUUGUUGCACAAAGGUACAUAACGAAAAUAAAACUUUGAGGCAGUGUGCCCAACUUUAGUGUAAAUAUGACGAUGUGGUUUAUUUCUAUUGUUCAAAUUUUGAUCGUAUCACCCACCUCAAUUUACUCUCCUCAAUUAUUCUCCUAUGCAAGAAGGGCAUUGGAAGAGCAAUAUGCUUUCUCUUUUCUACUUUCUCCUUUUUUUUUCUCAAGAUGGUUUGUUUUGCUACCGUAGUUCCCUUCAUAUAACUUUUUAGGUUGUUGGGUUGCGUAGUUUGUUCACAUAUACAUACAAACACACAUAAAAUAAUGAGUCAAAUACAUGAAUGAAUAUAAUACGUUUGGUUGAAUUAGUAUAACCAAAACACAUCAAAUAAACCUCCCUAAAAAGUAUGAAUUCUAAAAUAUGAAAACAAAAUUAUAUUCUACACGAAUCCAAACUAGUGGAAGUCUUAACUAAAACGAGAGAGAAACAAAUAUAUAUAAAAAAAUCUGAAUAUUUUAUUGAUAGGAAGAAGUCACACACUUUCAAAAAAAAAAAAA
rnacentral:lncRNA from 1 species